CUCAGGCUUAAGAGCGGGCACCUUUACCAGCCGAGUCAGCUUGCCGGCCCACGUUUUCUGAAUUUUAAGACAUGGGCUGUGACUGUGUAUGUCAGGCUAGUUUCAAAACCACUGUGUCGUCAGGCUGGCAUUGGAUCUGUGGUCCUCCCGUGUCAACUUCCCAGGUGCUGGUAGGGCAUGGCGGUACCAUGCCCAUCUUGUGUGCCCUCUUUAUUGGCUAACAGAAGACGUUUGCACCUUUAUGCGGUGUGAUGAGGGGGUGGUUAAAGCAACUCAUGUCCCCUGUCACCAGGGCUGCACCUGUGCCGCCCCCCACAGGGAGCACCUGCUGUGAGAGGCAGGGUCAGACAGAAGAGACAUCAAACCAGUUCGUAGACGCAGUGCAUCCCCAGUGGCUCACCAAUUGCUCUUGCAGUCUCAAGGGGGCAGCUGGGGUAGGAGGGUCUGCCAAGGAGGUAGUGAGGAGGUCACUGUCCUAGACCUAACCCCCAUUGUCUCUCCCUGUAGAGGCCGCUGGCUCCUUUUCAUCCACCAUUCUCCUUGUCUUGCAUGAUUCCUUUCAUAGAACCGAGGGUAGGUCUUGCCGAAGGUCAGUCAGGCCUCACGAGCAGCCACGCCCCUCACUCCCAUAAAUGAAAGGAUAUACAGGAGUGAACCUCUUCUUCAACAGCUCCAUAUGCCUCAAGUCAUCCCCAGGCUCCUCGCCUGGACCUCUCCAGCCGGCACCACCUCCUAUUUGCUGGUUCCACCCACGUGGGCCAUGCUGUCCUUCUGGAAUGGGUCAUGUCUCCUCCACCUCAGAAUCUCACACUCACUCUCCCGUCUGCCUGGAAAUGCCUCUUUAGGUCAGUUCCAACACGACACAUCAUCCCUACUCUGUCCCUAAAUAUUGUAUUAGUUACUGUUCUCCUCGUGACCAAAUACCUGACAAGAAAUGGCGUGCGGAAUUGGGGAGAGCUUACUUUUGAAGGUGCAGUCCCUCGUGCUGGAGAAGACAACGAGAUAAGAAUAGCCCUGGGCAGAUCAGGAAGCAGAGAAGGGAACGUUUGGCUCAGCGUUUUCUCUUUUUCUUUUGUUCAGUCUGGGACCCCAGCCGAUAGGAUGUGCUGAUACAGUCAGGUGUUCCCUACCUCAGUUAAUCUUCUCUGGAAAGGCCCUCACAGUCACAGCCAAAUUGUAUCUUAGCCAUGCCCAGAGUGUUCAUUACCGUUUGUUCCUUGGACGCCCUCUGUGACAGCAGCUUCAAGCUGCUGGGCGGUUGGUUACUCCCUGACCCGACUGAGCUACGUAUGGGCAAAAGCAAGCCUGACUUUGCUCGUUGUUGUAAGAUGCUCCAAACAUAUUUGCUCCGUGAAGAAUGGGCAGAUGCCUCAGUUUCCUCAGCAAGUUCCGUGUUUCAGAUUUUAUUUAGUGACAGGAGGGAGAGGACCCCUCUGGCUCUGGAGCCUCCUGCCAGCCAUGGGGUGGUUACUAACGUCUUUCCGGACAGUCGGGCCUCAGCUCCACUGCCCAGCACAUUCCCACCCUUCCUUCACCUGUCAUGGUCUCUGUAGGCCUGGGAAGGCAGGCAGGGGGCGAUGCGUGGCCUGGCGACCCUGCCCUGCCUGAUCUCUAGCUGGGAAGGACUUGUGUUUUAGGUCCUCCGAGGCCAGAGCCCAGAGGCAGUGGGUCUUGAGGGUGGCACUCAGGAGAUCGCUGGGGAAGAACAGGGUGUGGGGGUGCCAGGGUGCCGAGAGAGUCCUGAUGGGGAGCUGUGGCUGAGCAGGCUGAACAGGGCUGCUCACGGUCAAGGAGGUGACGAUGAGCGUGGAGAGCAUGUUUAGUGGAGACGAAGGACUGGGAGGGGGAGGCAGAGGUUGAUCUCUCCCCGGCCUAGCCCCGUCCCUCGCCCUUCGUCUUCCUCACCCUUCUGUACCUCGGCCUGUGGGUGCCUCUGCUCCUCUUUAGUUUGAUUGUCUGGAGCUUCGGACGCCCCAGCCUUAGAAUGCCUUCCUUCUACAGGCUUCCCACUGCACCCAGCACCCCAUCUCCACUCCUCCCUCUCCGGCGACCCGGGCUCUGCUAAGCUGCAUGUCCUCUCGUCACCUCGCCUCCAUGUCUGCGGCACCUGGCACCAGCCCCAGUUCUGCCUGUGUUGGUUUCCUACGCAGCUGCCCUUCUUCCCACCCCACUGCCCCGAAGGGAGGAGGCCCAGCCCAGAGAGACACUUAAAUUGGGGUUCAGGUUUCCUGUAGAGGUCACAUGGGCCCCCACAGAGCAGGGGGUUGACUAGGGGAAAGACAUACGCGGUGGACUGGCAAGCGUGUGGAGCCUACAGGGUUGGAGGUCAGACCUUGAAAGGCCAUUUCACUUCCCCCAAUGCCUUCUCCUCCCCCAUUACUCAUGGAGGAUCUGAGCCCUGGGCCCUUUGGGGAUCAGGUGAUGAGGUCAAUUUCUUGCUGCUUUGAGAGCAUAGCUCUAGUCCUCCCUGUUGGCAUGACUGUUGGGGGUGGCCCUGGGCCAUGGAAGGGACCUGCUGGGCAUGCCACUAAACAAUAAUCUGGAACUCACUGGGUGGGUGGCACUGGUUUGGAGGCUCUGCUUGAAUAACUCUCUACCCUCUGUCCAGGAGACAACCAUUUUAGCAAGGAAGAGCCACCCGGGAGUUAGCCGUGAUCAUCACCAUACUGGACGUUCACAAGGUAUAGGUGAAUCCCUGCAGGUGGAGGUCCCACGUAGGCCUGUAUCUGGCUUUCUUCCAGAAAAACGCAGAGCGGAGGGCAUAUGUCUGUGAAUCACAUGCGUGCCUGGCGCCACAGAGCUCAGAAGGAGGCGUAAAUCCCCUGGAACUAGACUGCAAUUACAGAUAGUUGUGAGCGACCAUGUGGGUUCUGGGGAUCAAACCCAGGUCCUUGGGAAGAACAGUCAUGGCUUCUAACCACACAGCCACCUCCACAGUCCCUUUGGUAUUUCUUUUAAAUUCUGUCUUGUGGAAAUUUUCCUGAGACAUUUAUUUGCCGUCCCCUGGCAGGGACCACACAGACACAGCCCUGAACUUCAUACACAUGUGUGACGGGCUCCACUAAGUCACAUGUCCCUACCACACAGGAUGCCAUGGGGCUUUGGGUUCUGAUGCGGAUUAAAAGGCCGGUUGUGGCCUACUGGCCUAGGACGUGGACUGCCCUUUGAAAGCCCCUGGUUGGUUGGAGGGAAGCCAAUGGAGGUGACCAAGGGUGACCAGCAGUGCCAGGAUGGCAGAUUAUCAUCUUUCACAUGGGGAUCACUUAUAAGGGAAUGUCACUCAGACCCUUAGUCUUGUCGAGGGUGAACAAGAGUCUGAGAAAGCCGGGCUGAGGGUUUCUGUGAGCAGGCUCCUGUGGAGAAACUUAUUAGUGUUCUGUGUCUAGAGCCCUGGGCCUUCUCUUGCGGAAGGGCCUGGGCGACAGGUGUGUGCUCCCUCCUAAACCCAGGCUUUCCGAAGGGGGCUUCUGGAGGCUUCUUGGGGAACUGUGAUGUGUUGGACACGGAGGAAAGGGCCUUCCCACGGGUACCGAAGGACGCAGAUCACCAGGGAUCCCGACCAAAGAGCAGCUCAUGGGAAACGGCAGGAAAAGGCACAGCCUGGUCCUCCUCACAGCCCACAAAAGUGUCCCUAACCGUACACCUAGCCUGGAGAAGGCACCCAGCCACUCUGCCCCUAGCACUGGGCAUGCUCACGCCAGACUGAGACCCCAAGAAAAGUGAUGAUAGUCUACUGUUCUGUUUCCCAGGCAGAAAUGCCACAGGCUCUGCUUGUUCUCACCCAGGCCCAGGGAGGGGCUUCCCACUGAGUGAGACAGCGAGCUGCAGCGAGGGCCAGUGAGACCGGCUUCUGGUCCAUUGGGGGUCCUGUCUGCCCACUACUCUGGAAGCGUCUAUAGAGAGGGAGCUGGGCGAGAAAGCUUCAGGAUGAGGGCCUGUGAUGGGUGGGUAGCUGGGGCAUGUCAGGGAAGGCUCCCAAAGAACACUCCUGACCCUGAGAAGAGCGAGGGCUGUUCUGGGUAGAGGGAGCAGCAGCUGGUGAGGCAGGAAGGAAGAGCCUGGAGCCUUGAGGGCUGGAGAGAUGUGGUUACAGAGGUCAGCGGGGCCAGAGCCCUUGAUCCAGAGGUAACAGAAGCCAUGGAGCAACUUUAUUCAGGGUUAGUUAUCUUGGACUGAAAUAUCACCCUGGUCACUGAGGGAAGAAUGUGGAGUGGAUGAAGUUAGCCAAGGAAUUGCUUGGUGGUCUCCAAGAGGCAAGACAGACUCUAUAACCUAAUAAGGAAGACAAGUGAGAACUGAACAGUGGAAUUUUGGAGCCACUGAAGAGAUGGGGCCCCCAAGGCUUGGACGAGGUGUGUUGGUGUCAGCAUGGGCACUAAAGGUGGCAUUAAUGGACCUGGGGUGAGGCAAGGAAGUUGAGUUCAGCAGUAGAUAGCUCUGGCUGGAAGGUCUAGAACAGAGUAGGCUGCUGAACACACCGGGCUGGGGCUUAGUACAGAGGUCCUGGCUUUCAGAGCCACAUGGUCCACUCUUUCUGGGAGGGCACGGGGAUGGGAAAGCACAGCCGAGAGCCCGGAGGAGGCAGGGCAACAAAAGAGAAAGCAAACCCAGUCCAGCAACCCAAGGGUCCGGUUAUAAAGUCCCGAGAGCCACUAACAGCACAGAGAUAGCAGGUGUGAGGCUGCGGGAGGACCGAGGGCAGGCUUGUCGGACACAUGCACGGCUCUACACGAUGGAGCGGUCUGGACGUGGACAGCCGAGGGCUGGUGAGAUGUUGACUGUCACUGAACUGCACAGUUAGUUAAGGAGGUGAGUUUAACGCUGUGUGCAUCUUACCACUGUUAAUAUGUUCUGAAAGAGAAGCAGGCCAAAGACUGACUAGCAUGGUUUCCAGGUAGGGAAGGGAAGCACUUCCUUGGGCGGCCUGCUGCACAGAGCUAAGGGUUUGCUGAUGAGGACAGAGAACAUGCUGGGUCUAGUCACAAGGAGGUCCUGCAGGCUGGCAAAACACAUGGGCAUGUGGAGAGUGGGCUGGCAACACAGAGCCACAGUGGACAGAGGUAGGAAGGGAGGAGUGAACCAAGAAGCCAGGGAUCCCGCCCUGAGGCCAUCUCUGGCUUGGCACUUGCAGGGUGUGGUUUCCCCUCUCCACAGUGCCCUAGAACAGGAAGUCCUCAAGGUAUUCUCUUCUCCCAGAGGGGGGUGCUGCCCAUCUGCACCCCACUUGUGCCGGUUGGACCCCUGCCUCUGUUCAAGCCCAGUAUGAGCCUGAAGUCAUUCUUGAGUCCUGACCGCUCUCCCACCGCCAUCACUGCCGUUCUCCAGGCCUGCUCAGGCCAAGGCCUCCACACAGCUUCCCCCAGCCUCUGCUGCUGCCUCGCCCCUUCCUUGGUGCCCCCCUCUGCUUCCUCGCCCCUUCCUUGGUGCCCUCCCCCUCUGCUUUCUCACCCCUUCCUUAGUACCCCCAUUACACCUCAGCCCAAGAACAGGCACAGACCGGGUCAUGUAAGCCAUUUAUUAGUUUGUUUGAAAAAUAAUGUAUUUCAUUUAUACACGAAGCU